rnacentral:rRNA from 1 species
GACGAACGCUGGAGGCGCGCUUAACACAUGCAAGUCGAACGAUGAAAUGGAGCUUGCUCCAUGGAUUAGUGGCGAACGGGUGAGUAACACGUGAAUAGCCUGCCCCUAAUUUUGGAAUAACCCAGGGAAACCUGGGCUAAUACCGGAUAAGUAAACCUGUGGCAUCACAUGGUUUUGGAAAGUUUUUCGAUUAAGGAUGGAUUCGCGGCCUAUCAGCUUGUUGGUGAGGUAAUGGCUCACCAAGGCGACGACGGGUAGCCGGCCUGAGAGGGUGAACGGCCACACUGGGACUGAGACACGGCCCAGACUCCUACGGGAGGCAGCAGUGGGGAAUAUUGCGCAAUGGACGAAAGUCUGACGCAGCGACGCCUCGUGAGGGACGAAGGUCUUCGGAUUGUAAACCUCUUUCAGCAGGGACGAAGCGAAAGUGACGGUACCUGCAGAAGAAGCACCGGCUAACUAUGUGCCAGCCGCCGCUGUAA